GUACUUACCUGGCAGGGGAGAUACCAUUAUCAUGAAGGUGAUUUUCCCAGGGUGAAGCUUAUCCACUGCACUCCGGAUGUGCUGACCACCACGUUUUCCCCAAAUGUGGGAAACUCGACUGCAUAAUUUGCGGUAGUAGGGGACUACGUUUGUGCUCUCCCCUG